UACAGAGGGGGCUAGCGUUAUUCGGAAUUAUUGGGCGUAAAGGGCGCGUAGGCGGCCAUGCAUGUCUUCCGUGAAAUCCCUCGGCUUAACUGAGGACGUGCGGAAGAAACUGCAAGGCUCGAGUCCGGGAGAGGGGGGUGGAAUUCCCAGUGUAGCGGUGAAAUGCGUAGAUAUCAGGAAGAACACCCGUGGCGAAGGCGGCUCUCUGGUACGUGACUGACGCUGAGACGCGAAAGCGUGGGGAGCAAACAGG
rnacentral:rRNA from 1 species